GUGUCAGCAGCCGCGGUAAUACGAAGGGUGCAAGCGUUACUCGGAAUUACUGGGCGUAAAGCGUGCGAUGGUGAUUCGUUAAGUCACAUGUGAAAGCCCUGGGCUCAACCUGGGAAUUGCAUUGGAAACUGGCGGGCUAGAGUACGGUAGAGGGUAGUGGAAUUCCUGGUGUAGCAGUGAAAUGCGUAGAGAUCAGGAGGAACAUCCGUGGCGAAGGCGACUACCUGGACCAGUACUGACACUGAGGCACGAAAGCGUGGGGAGCGAACAGGAUUAGAAACCCCAGUAGUCC
rnacentral:rRNA from 1 species